UGAGAAUGAGCUCAGUGGCAGAGCAUUUGCCUAGCAUGUGAAAGGCUCUAGGUUCAAUCCCAGAAACUCAG
rnacentral:tRNA from 1 species